AACGAACGCUGGCGGCAUGCCUAACACAUGCAAGUCGAACGAGACCUUCGGGUCUAGUGGCGCACGGGUGCGUAACGCGUGGGAACCUGCCCUUAGGUUCGGAAUAACUCCCCGAAAGGGGUGCUAAUACCGGAUAAUGUCUUCGGACCAAAGAUUUAUCGCCUUUGGAUGGGCCCGCGUUGGAUUAGCUAGUUGGUAGGGUAAAAGCCUACCAAGGCGACGAUCCAUAGCUGGUCUGAGAGGAUGAUCAGCCACACUUGGACUGAGACACGGCCCAGACUCCUACGGGAGGCAGCAGUGGGGAAUAUUGGACAAUGGGCGAAAGCCUGAUCCAGCAAUGCCGCGUGAGUGAUGAAGGCCUUAGGGUUGUAAAGCUCUUUUACCCGGGAUGAUAAUGACAGUACCGGGAGAAUAAGCUCCGGCUAACUCCGUG
rnacentral:rRNA from 1 species